UAGAGAUGUGUGAUGACGCAUAUCAAUAAGCGGAGGAAAAGAAACUAACAAGGAUUCCCUUAGUAACGGCGAGUGAAGCGGGAAGAGCUCAAAUUUGAAAUCUUCAAGGGUUCUACCUUUACGAAUUGUAGUUUAUAGAAGUGUUUUCUGUUAGUAGAGUGGCUAAAAGUUCUUUGGAAUAGGACAUCAUAGAGGGUGAGAAUCCCGUAUUUGUACAGUUACUUUCUAGCUGUGUGAUACACUUUCAACGAGUCGGAUUGUUUGGGAAUGCAGUCCAAAAUGGGUGGUAAAUUUCAUCUAAAGCUAAAUAUUGGCGAGAGACCGAUAGCGAACAAGUACCGUGAGGGAAAGAUGAAAAGAACUUUGAAAAGAGAGUUAAACAGUACGUGAAAUUGUCAAAAGGGAAGCGUUUGACACCAGUGUUGUUUUUCCGAAAAUCAAUUACGAAUGUUUUGUUUUUGAGAAGUUAUGACUUCAUCGGCUUGCUUCUUUCUUUACGAAACUUUCUUAAUGCACUCUUCGGUUAACAAGUCAACAUCAAUUUCUUUUGUUGUAAAAGGGUACGAGGAAGGUGGCUUUCUUUUCGGAGAAAGUGUUUAUAGCCUUGUACCUCUGCAAUCGGAGAGAUUGAGGUCUGCAGCGUAGAUCCUUCGGGGUUAGAUACAUUUGUGCUAAGUUAUAGCUUUUCAUAGACAACUUGUUGACUAUGUUAAGUCUUGUAGCUUACUCGCUUAUGCUAUUUUACCUACGCUUAGGAUGUUGAAGAUGUAGCACAUCAU
rnacentral:rRNA from 1 species